rnacentral:rRNA from 1 species
AGGCGGAAGACAUAGUCAGGUGGGGAGUUUGGCUGGGGGCGGCACAUCUGUUAAAUGGCAACACAGGUGUCCAAAGGUAAGCUCAAAAGAGAACAGAAAUCUCUUGUUGACCAAAAGGGGAAAAGCUUACUUUAUUUUGAUUUUCAGUAAGAAUACAAACUGUGAAAGCAUGGCCUAUCGAUCCUUUAACUUCUCGAAUCAUGAGAUUAGAGGUGUCAGAAAAGUUACCACAGGGAUAACUGGCUUGUGGCAGCCAAGCGAACAUAGCGACGUUGCUUUUGAUCCUUCGAUGUCGGCUCUUCCUAUCAUUGUGAAGCAAAAUUCACCAUGUGUUGGAUUGUUCACCCAUCAAUAGGGAACGUGAGCUGGGUUUAGACCGUCGCGAGACAGGUUAGUUUUACCCUACUGAUGAAUAGUAUUGCGACAGUAGACUAAUUUAGUACGAGAGGAACCGUUGGUCCAGAUAAUGGUAAAUACGGUUAGCUGACCAGCUAAUGCCGUGAAGCUACCAUCUGUU